GCAUUAGCCUCCAUGCUACCUGGUAGCCAAAGUGAAAAGGGAAAAUUGGGUAGUCUGUAUGCACUCUUUAGGGCUUCCCAGGUGGCACAGUGGUAAAGAAUCCACCUGCCAAUGCAGCUGAUGCAGAAGACGUGGGUUUGAUCCCUGGGUCGGGAAGAUCCCCUGGAGAAGGGCAUGGCAACCGGCUCUAGUACUCUUGCCUGGAAAAUUUCACGGACAGAGGAGCCUGGUGGGCUACAGUCCAUGGGGUCACGAAAAGUUGGACACGACUGAGCAUGCACAUGCAUGCAAGGCCUCUUUCAGCACUCUGUGAGGUGUUGUAUUCCUCGGGGCUCUGAGGGGAGGGCCCAGGACUCCCAUUCCCAUAAUGAAUGGGAUGCCCCCACGCGACAGGGCUUAGAGAAGAUGCUCCCAAAACGGUGAAAGGGACCUGCUGCCUCCUAGGCCCUCUGGGUCUGUCUGUGUUGGCUGCUGGAGCUUGACUAGUCUUGAAGGGCGGUCAUCUGACUUGGAGGACUGACCUAAGGGAGGUUGGGCCCCCGGGCAGCCUGCAGGGCGAGUGCUGGCCCCCAGAGGCUCAGUCCCAGCUGGGGCAGGCUCACCAGGGGCCGCCCUCUGGCCUAUGUGGGCUGGCAGACGCCUCCUGCCCUCUUUAUCUCUGUCCAGAGCACGGGCUCCAGGGGUGGUGGAAUCCUGGCACGGCCACUACUGGUCAGCUGUGUGGCUUGUUGGGGAGCUUGUUAACCUCCCUGCUGGCUUGUGAGACUUAAACGGGGAGCACCCACAGAGGGAGGGGCGCGGCACGCAGUAACCAAUCAUCUCCCGAGGUUGCGGGGCGGUUCCGGGUGAUGCAGGAGAGCUCCGCCCAGCGCGAGUUGGGGACUCAGCCCUUCUGCGCCCUCCAGCAUUUGUCAGUUGCCUAUCGAGUCUUGGGCCUCCUCUAAGCCCUCUGUGCACAUAACUCACUCAGUCCUCAUUGGAGGCACUGCUAUUACCGUAUUUUACAGAUGAAGUGAUUUGCCCCGGGUCACAUAGCCUAGUUCCACAGCCCGUGUCUUAAUCGCCACUUCAGAGGAGCAGGAUCCAAUUAAAUGCGUUUCUGAACCCUGGGAGCGGGCUACUCAUGUUCCCCCACCUGGUGGAGGGAGGCGCCAGGGUCUUGGGGACCACAACCCACUCUUUGGGUCCUCCUCUGGCUCCAGACUCCUGGUCCCACCACUAGGGAGAGACUGUGAGCAUCCACCCCAUUCCCAGAAGAGGAGAACUGAGGCCGAGGAGAGGCUGUUCCACAGGCUGCCUGCAGGAGAGGACGACGGAGGACUCCCCGCUUCACCGGGAGUCGUGAGGAGUACGUGAAAUAACUCAUGGAAAGCACUCAGGGCCUGGCAAGUGUUUGUUGCCACCAUCAUUAUUUAUCCAUCAUCUUCUCCUGAGAGUGCUUAGACCUCAUCCUCAUGGCCCAAGUCCCUCACCGCCCAAGCUGUGGCAGGGCCACUGAUCUCUGUGGGCGAGUCAGGCUUCUGGAACAGAGAGGCCCUGCUCCCCACCCCUGGGCACCAGGCUGACCCAUGCCUGCCCUCACCCGUGCCAGCCUACAGGAUGCCCUGACCCACCUUCUCGGGCAGGGAUGGCAGGAGUCCCACCUGCCCUGGCUGAGGCCUCACCAGCCCUGCCUCCUUAACCCCAGAUGAGCCACAGAGAUGAGAAUCACCAUCUCACGGAUCAGCUCGGAUGGGGGAGCUCUGGCCCAAGGCCACUCCGUGCUCCUGCAGACGCCCCGUCAUAUGUCUGUCUCAGAGGUUCAGUGGGUCCCCUGUAGGCCCCUUCCCAGCCCAGACUCUGGAUGCCCCGAGGGGCAGAGGCCCACCGCUCAUGCCACUGUGCCCACUCCAGCGUCCUGCUAGCAGUGCCCUCUGUGGACCCCCUGGCCCCUCCCCUCCCCCAGGGCCUCUGCUCUCUGGCGAGCACCAGUCACUGGGAACCCCACCAGGCAGUUCAUCUGCAGCACUCUGGCUGGGCUUCCCAGAGCUUCUGAGAAGAGACUCCGUUUCAGGUGCUGGCGACACCUCCGAGAGGAUUUC
ensembl:lncRNA